rnacentral:rRNA from 1 species
GGUUGAUCCUGCCGGAGGUUACUGCUAUCGGUGUUCGACUAAGCCAUGCGAGUCAAAUGUUCUUCGUGAACAUGGCGGACUGCUCAGUAACACGUGGAUAACCUGCCCUUAGGUUCGGCAUAACUCCGGGAGACUGGAGAUAAUUCCGAAUAGGUCAAAUAUGCUGGAAUGCUUUUUGGCCAAAAGACCUCGGUUGCCUAAGGAUGGAUCUGCGGUCUAUCAGGUUGUAGUGGGUGUAACGUACCUACUAGCCUACGACGGAUAUGGGUUGUGAGAGCAAGAGCCCAGAGAUGGAUUCUGAGACAUGAAUCCAGGCCCUACGGGGCGCAGCAGGCGCGAAAACUUUACAAUGCGGGAAACCGCGAUAAGGGGACACCGAGUGCCAGCAUUUAUGUUGGCUGUCCACAUGUGUAAACGGCAUGUGUUAGCAAGGGCCGGGCAAGACCGGUGCCAGCCGCCGCGGUAACACCGGCGGCCCGAGUGGUAAUCACUUUUAUUGGGUCUAAAGGGUCCGUAGCCGGUUUGAUCAGUUCUUCGGGAAAUCUGACAGCUCAACUGUUAGGCUUCCGGGGAAUACUGUCAGACUUGGGACCGGGAGAGGUAAGAGGUACUACAGGGGUAGGAGUGAAAUCUUGUAAUCCCUGUGGGACCACCAGUGGCGAAGGCGUCUUAC